GCUUGUCUCAAAGAUUAAGCCAUGCAUGUCUAAGUAUAAAUGCUAUACAAUGAAACUGCGAAUGGCUCAUUAAAACAGUUAUAGUUUAUUUGGUAAUACACUUACAUGGAUAACCGUGGUAAUUCUAGAGCUAAUACAUGCUGUUAAGCCUGACUUCUUGAAGGGCUGUAUUUAUUAGAUAACAGACCAAUAUUCCUCGUGUCUAUUGUGGUGACUCAUAGUAACUGAUCGGAUCGCACGGGCUUGCCCGCGACAAACCAUUCAAGUUUCUGCCCCAUCAGCUUUCGAUGGUAGUGUAUUGGACUACCAUGGCUUUUACGGGUAACGGAGGAUUAGGGUUCGAUUCCGGAGAGGGAGCCUGAGAAACGGCUACCACAUCUAAGGAAGGCAGCAGG
rnacentral:rRNA from 1 species